UACAGGGGGGGCAAGCGUUGUUCGGAAUUACUGGGCGUAAAGGGUCUGUAGGUGGCCAACUAAGUCAGACGUGAAAUCCCUCAGCUUAACUGGGGAACUGCGUCUGAUACUGGAUGGCUCGAGUGUGGGAGAGGAAUGCGGAAUUCCAGGUGUAGCGGUGAAAUGCGUAGAUAUCUGGAGGAACACCGGUGGCGAAGGCGGCAUUCUGGACCACAACUGACACUGAGAG
rnacentral:rRNA from 1 species